rnacentral:lncRNA from 1 species
GCCCAUUGCUCUCAUUUUUUUCUCUCCUUGAAUUCUUUUCCCUUUUUGUUCACAAUUGCUAAGUUCUGAAACAUAUCUUUUGCUCAUAACUAUUUUUAUUGAGCACUCACACUAACAUAUAUGUAUGUGAAUGCUCCUUAGAUGAAUGUGUUUCAAGGAAACAUUCAAAUUAUGCUCAAUUUGAUGUCCCUCUCAAUGUAGCAAUCGCAC